CCAAAACAUACCCAUCUAUCAACAAGAACUCUUGUUAUCCUAAUUUCUAAAUCACAAUCCUAAGUCUACAAUAUUUAUCUACAAAAUGAUAACUUUCCAAAUAUAGCAGUUUUUAAAAAUUUAUCUUAAAGAUAUAACGUAUUGAUCAAAAAUCUAAAAUCAUGCCCAUUUAUCAACAAAAACUCUUGUUAUCCUAGUUUUUAAAUCGCAAUCUCAAAUCUACAAUAUUUCUCUUCAAAAUGAUAACUUUCUAAAAUUAGCAGGUUUUGGAAAAAUUAUUUAAAAAUUAUAACCUAUAGAUCAAAAAUUCUCAAAGCAUACCCAUCUAGCAAUAAAAACUCUUGUUAUCCUAAUUUCUAAAUCUUUAAUCUAAAUCUAAAAUAUUUAUCGACAAAAUGACAACUUUCCAAAAAUAGGAGGUUUUGGAAAUUUUAUUUUAAAAUUAUAACCUAUUGAUCAAAAAUUCCAAAAACAUACCCAUCUAUCAACAAGAACUAUUGUUAUCCUAAUUUAUAAAUCACAAUCCUAAAUCUACAAUAUUUAUCUACAAAAUGAUGACUUUCCAAAUAUAGCAGUUUUUGAAAUUUUAUCUUAAAGAUAUAACGUAUAGAUCAAAAAUUCCAAAAACAUACUCAUCUAUCAACAAGAACUCUUGUUAUCCGAAUUUCAAAAUCACAAUCCCAAAUCCACAAUAUUUAUCUGCAAAAUGAUAACUUUCAAAAUAUAAUAGUUUAAAAAAAAUUAUUUUACAAAUAUAGAAUAUUGAUCAAAAAUUCUAAAAGCAUACCCAUCUAUCAACAAAAACUCUUGCUAUCGAGAUUUCUAAAUCACAAUCCCAAAUCUACAAUAUUUCUCAAACAAAAUGAUAAUUUUCUAAAAAUAGCAGUUCUUAGAAAUUUUAUUUAUAAAAUAUAAUCUUUUGAUCAAAAAUUCUAAAAGCAUACCCAUAUAUCAAAAAAAAAAAGUCUUGUUAUCCUAAUUUCUAAAUCACAAUCUCAAAUCUAUAGUAUUUCUUUACAAAAAUGAUAAUUUCCAAAAAUAGCAUGUUUUAGAAAAUUUAUUUAAAAAUUAUAAAUUAUUGGCAGAAAAAUAUAAAACCAUACCCACCUAUCAUAAAAAAAAACUCUUGUUAUCCUAAUAUCUAAAUCACAAUCCCAAAUCUUCAACAUUUCUUUACAAAAAUGAUAACUUUCCAAAAAUAGGAGGUUUUAGAAAAUUUAUUUUAAAAUUAUAACCUAUUGAUCAAAAAUUCCAAAAACAUAUCCAUAUAUCAACAAGAACUAUUGUUAUCCUAAUUUCUAAAUCACAAUCCCAAAUAUACAAUAUUUAUCUACAAAAUGAUAACUUUCCAAAUAUAGCAGUUUUUGAAAUUUUAUCUUAAAGUUAUAACGUAUAGAUCAAAAAUUCCAAAAACAUACCCAUCUAUCAACAAGAACUCUUGUUAUCCUAAUUUCUAAAUCAGAAUCCCAAAUCUACAAAAUGAUAACUUUCCAUAUAUAGCAGUUUUUAAAAUUUUAUUUAACAAAUAUAGCCUAUUGAUCAAAAAUUCUAAAAGCAUACCCAUCUAUCAACAAAAACUCUCGUUAUCUUAGUUUCUAAAUCACAAUCUCAAAUCUACAAUAUUUCCCUGCAAAAUGUGAAGUUUCCAAAAAUAGCAGGUUUUGGAAAUUUUAUUUUAAAAUUAUAACCUAUUGAUCAAAAAUUACAAAAACAUACUCAUCUAUCAACAAGAACUCUUGUUAUCCUAAUCUCUAAAUCACAAUCCCAAAUCUACAAUAUUUAUCUACAAAAUGAUAACUUUCCAAAUAUAGCAGUUUUUAAAAAAUUACCAUAAAGAUAUAACGUAUUGAUCAAAAAUUCUAAAAGCAUGCUCAUUUAUCAACAAAAACUCUUGUUAUCAUAAAUUCUAAAUCACAAUCUCAAAUCUACAAUAUUUCCCUACAAAAUGAUAACUUUCUAAAAAUAGUAGGUUUU
rnacentral:lncRNA from 1 species